AUAUCACUAAGCGGAGGAAAAGAAAUCAACGAAGAUUGCCUCAGUAGCGGCGAGUGAAGCGGCAAUAGCUCAAGUUUAGAAUCUGUGACCUUCGGUCAUCGAAUUGUAAUCUAAAGGGGUUAACAAAAGGGGAAGCAGAGGCAUAAGUUCCUUGGAAAAGGACGUCAAAGAGGGUGAAAACCCCGUAUGAAGCCUUCGCUGAACCGAAUGUUGGCUUUCUAAGAGUCGGGUUGUUUGGGAUUGCAGCCCUAAAUGGGAGAUAAACUUCUUCUAAGACUAAAUAUUGAUGGGAGACCGAAUAGCGCACAAGUA
rnacentral:rRNA from 1 species